CAAAUCUGUCACACUAACCCCCAAC
rnacentral:piRNA from 1 species